GACGAACCGUGCGAACGUUGCUCGGAAUCAUUGGGCGUAAAGCGCACGUAGGCGGUCUGUUAUGUCGGAUGUGAAAGCCCUUGGCUCAACUGAGGAAGUGCAUCCGAAACUGGCAGGCUAGAGUACUAAAGAGGAUCGCGGAAUUCCCGGUGUAGAGGUGAAAUUCGUAGAUAUCGGGAGGAACACCGGUGGCGAAGGCGGCGAUCUGGGUAGAUACUGACGCUGAGGUGCGAAAGCGUGGGGAGCAAACAGGG
rnacentral:rRNA from 1 species